GACGAACGCUGGCGGCGUGCUUAACACAUGCAAGUCGAACGGAAGGGCCCUGCUUGCAGGGUACUCGAGUGGCGAACGGGUGAGUAACACGUGGGUGAUCUGCCCUGCACUUCGGGAUAAGCCUGGGAAACUGGGUCUAAUACCGGCUAGGUGCCAUUUUUAGUGUGAUGGUUGGAAAGUUUUUUCGGUGUAGGAUGAGCUCGCGGCCUAUCAGCUUGUUGGUGGGGUAAUGGCGUACCAAGGCGGCGGCGGGUAGCCGGCCUGUGGGGGUGGACGGCCACAUUGGGACUGACGGGCGGCCCAGACUCCUACGGGAGGCAGCUGUGCGGAAUCUUGCACGAUGGGCGCCAGCCUGAUGCUGCGACGCCGCGUGGCGUAUGACUGCCUUCGGGUUGUAAACUCCUUUCGCUAGGGACGAAGCUUUUUGUGACGGUACCUAGAUAAGAAGCACCGGCUAACUACGUG
rnacentral:rRNA from 1 species